UACGGAGGGGGCUAGCGUUGUUCGGAAUUACUGGGCGUAAAGCGCACGUAGGCGGCUUUGUCCGUUAGAGGUGAAAGCCCGGGGCUCAACUCCGGAAUUGCCUUUAAGACUGCAUCGCUAGAAUUGUGGAGAGGUAAGUGGAAUUCCGAGUGUAGAGGUGAAAUUCGUAGAUAUUCGGAAGAACACCAGUGGCGAAGGCGACUUACUGGACACAUAUUGACGCUGAGGUGCGAAAGCGUGGGGAGCAAACAGG
rnacentral:rRNA from 1 species